UUUUGAGCUAACAUUCCAGUGAAGGAUGACCUUCCACCAUUUUUUUUUUUGAAAGUGAAAACUCACCAGCAAAUUAUGGCUUCAAAAUUUUCCUGCAGAACUUAGUCCAGAUUUGAGACAUGGGUUUUCAAGAUGCUUAAUUAUUAAAGUUUGUUUGUGUUCAAGCUUUGAAUAAUGUAUUGUUUCUGAUUUUUGUCCUCAACUACAUAAUGCACUCACCUAUUUCUAAUUCUCAAGAAAAAUGUAUU